GUUGAAGGUAUAUAUAUAUAUAUAUAUAUAUAAUAUGUGUGUACAACGAUAACCGCAAACAAGUCCAAAGAUGCGCGGUACGAAACCAUGCGCGUCACACGUCUUCUCCAAAUGAAAGGCCACAGGAAUAGAAAUCGAGAGUGAUGGUUUUAGAGGGACUCGUUGCUCUGCACAUCUACUCCGUGAGUGUCUUUCUCAUAUGGAAUUUGUUUCCACAGCAAGUAUUGAUCGACUUUUCAAGUUGCGUGCACUCCCAACUCUCAAUCCUUCACCCCCGUUUAUUUACUUGUUGACUUGUGAUCUAUUGAAUCCGAUCCUUCACGCUUAUCGCCCGUCGUCUUCGUUCUGUCACUUACACCUGAAACAGAAGGCAUCAGGUGCAUAUUAUCUAUCUCUUUGACAUGUGGUCUGUUGAAUCGAGUGUCGAUAUCCCGUCUUUUUUUGCCCUAAAGAAAAAGAACACGUGUAAGUCGUACCAAUCAUAUCGUGGAUUAAAGGUGGAGUAGGAAUUUGGUGGUCUGCCUAUUGGACCAGCAGCUGAGCGGCACUUGAUGCGUCGGUGGUGGGAGCGGGCCCCAGUCGAAUCUACCUCGAGGUGGACAAGACGGGCGAAUAUAAAACGGGUCGGAUCUGCCUCGAGAAUGUGAUGGAACUGUGGAACCAAAUGCCGAACCGCAGGUUUGUUCGCAGGAUUAUUAUGGUGAUACUGAUCUGAUGUGUUUUUGGAGUGGAUUGAUGAAGAUGCAGAGUGCCCAUAUUGUGAAGGACUGGGCUACACCAUUUGUUUGAUGUUUGUGAUGUUAACUUUACUGCACUAUUUUCAUAUCAAAAGUUUUCGCUGGUCGGUUAUUUGGGACCAUAUAUCCCUA